GGCCAGACGGGGAGGGCUAAAGGAACCAUGCUUCCUUGGAGAUCCAGCGGGUCCCUUCACUGAAUUUCCAAGGUCUUAAAAAACGAAAGCGCACCUCUAAUGCUUUACUUAACAGAGAGACUGGGAGCAGGAGAUGUGUACACUACAAUAUUCCACCCUGUUGUUCAUUUCGAAGCAAACCUGCUCCAAAUUGGUGGGUACUGGUCACUUAAACUAUUAUUAAAAUGUAGAUAUGAGGCUUCUCUGCUUUGUAUUGGCUUGUGAUAGGCAUCCUGUUUCGUACCCCCUUCAGAAAAUAAAUGGGUAUGAGCCUUUGUCCAAUGACAAUGGCCAAUUUUUCACCUGUGAAACUGAAGUUUGAAAACACUGAAGCUUAUCCCAGGUCAGAGAAGGACCAUAGUUCACUGGCGUAGCAAUACUGUGGAGGUAAGAAGUCCCAGGGGGAUGGAGUUUGUGUUUGAGAUCUGGGAUAGCUGUUGCUUAGCCAAGAAGGCGAUAUGGAGCUAGAUGAGCCAAAAGUGUUAAGCAGGUGCAGCAAGAUUCUCUCUUGGUGCUUUUUCUUUCUAGAUACUGUUGGCUUUCUAGAUAUUUCAGGAGAUCAGCUUCUGCACACCAACAUUUAUUCUGUCCCAGUGCCAGAACUGAGGUUACCUUGCUGGUGUGGUGGAACUCAGUGUUCAUUGUUUCCUAUGUGUAACAUUCCCAGGUCUGAUCCUGGAAUUGGAGCUGAAACACAUGGUCAGCAGGACAGUGUGAAAAGCCUGUUUGUCGCUGGUCUAGCUAUACCACUACUGGUAGCCAAGGAAGUGGAAGACUGAUAGGGGGCUUCAACUUGUGCAUUGAGGCUUCCCCCCCUCUCCUCCCUGUGUGUACUUUCCUUGCCCCCUAAAUUGUCUGGGAUGGUGUAAGGAGAACCCCCAGAAUGACACACAGUGGGAAGAGGAUCAUUCAGUUUUGCAAGCUGAUACGCUUCUGCAGAUGGGAUUUUGUGAUUGAAUUGAAUUCCAACCUGAAUGGUUGAAUAGAAAUCUUCUGGCAUUAUGGCCCAUCAGAAUAAUGGGGCCUCACUGGCCCCACCCUCACUGUCACAUUUCCAAAGGGCUGCUUCUACAUGCAUUGAGGCUGAAGGUCUGGAGCAGGGGUCUAGCUGUGCACAGAUCGGUUUCUCCCAUGAUUUAGAAUUACACAGGGAGUCCAGUGCUCAGGGGUAGAGUGGGGUGAGGAUGGAGCAACAGGGGUUGAGCCAGCAAAUGCCUUUAAAUAUUCGAAUUCCCCACCUGUAUUCCGAACUAACAACAGAUAUAUAAUGUGAGCCUGCAAAUUGUGUAGCUCAGUCCUGUUAUUGAAAGUUUCCCAGUCUGAAUGGCCAAAUCUGCAUUGGUCCCAGAAUAAAAGCUCAGUUGGAAAUCAGCCAAGCGCUAAGUCACUUUCGCCAGACAGUGGCAAGACCAGCAGUCAUAUUGAAUGUGUGUGUGUUUUAAAAAUAAGAUUUAUUAGCGCCCAACAUCCUAAGGUGUGAGGUGGCAGGUGUGGGGUGUUGUUCAUUGCUUUGCUGCGUUCUAGUUUGGCAUAUUGGCCAUACCUAUUGUACAAAGACAGAUUAAUUUCCAAAAUGUUGACUAUCGUUAUAUAUCCAUAAUGCCAGAAAAGAAGUUUUAAGGAUAUGCUAUGUCCAGGCAGAACAACUCCAUUCUGAAGCCCCAUCUAGAUCAAUGUUUAAAAAACUGACUUAGAGCACAUUGCUUAAUCCAGUUUAGAAUUUUGUUAUUUUUUGAAAACAACAAUAACCUUACCUUCAUAUUUCCACAGAUAAUACUAGGUAUGUUUUCCCUUGAAUCCCAGCAGUUUGGGGGUAAGGUCACAAUUUUUGCAUUUAUAAAACAUAUGCCCCAUCUAAGGUUCAAAGACAGGUGGUUUAUGACAUACUGAAACCCUUACAAAACAAACUUAUACUUUAAUUAUUUUAAAUUCUUUUUUUAAAAAAACAAAACCCUACACGUAUAGAGAAUAAGAGAAGAAUCAACAGCAGAUACAAAUACAAUACAUCUAACAUUCCUGGUCUCCACAGGGCCACAAGCACCCUCUGAAAGCGUUUGCUUCUCUGCCAUCUUCUUAAAGCAAUAAGGGAGCAGGUUGAAUGUGGCUUCUGGGUCGGGAGUUCCAAAUUGAGAACACUGUUUCUGGUGGCCAGCAUUUCUGGUCAAAAGGAAAGCCCCACCAGAUAACCUUAUGAGAGGAAAGUGGGCUUGUCAUGAAUCCUGAGGUAAACUUUUCAUUUUCAGUGAACUGGUAGUGUAACGAGAUUUAGGGUGUCUGCAUUCCCUCACUGUGUUGUCUUACUCAUCCCUCCAUGCCAGCAAAAGGCUGCUGAGAUGUCCUACCACUUUCUUUCCCAAAUGCCAGGUCUCAAGUUGAGGCCGCAGGUUUCUGAAACCUCAUCUAUAGCAUGAAUAUGAGCUUUCUAUUGGCAUGUGCCAAUGUCACUGGUCUGGUUUCCUCCAAAGAAUCCUGGGAAAUUAAGUCUGGUAAAGGUGAUGAACAUUCCCUGACAGUGCUUCCUUCGCUUCCGCUAACCCUGGUCACAGAACUGAGAUUCCCAGGGUUCUCUGGGGGAAAGUGAUUCCUGUUAUACCUAUUAGAAUCUGUAAAUGUGGGGUGUGCUCUUAUUCAAAUUCUCAUAGUGACUGAGCCUUUGGCUGUUUGGGCAAAGGAAUCUUUAUUUUUUCAUCAACCAUGAACCAGUGUAUUGUCUAUCUACAACCACUUAGGCAACGUUUCCCCUAUUAAGGACCAGUUCACACAAAAUCUGCCCUUGCUGAAUGGUGAGUUCACUCGAUAUGCCUUCCAGCUGGUUCUGUCCAUGGCAAUGCUUUUGUCUGGCUGAUCCAAGAAAUACCAAUCUCUUUUCAGUCCACAGUGUCCCACCUUGCAGAAGAGCAGUUGGGCAACUGAUUUACCCUACGGCCAGCUUUGCAGCUUCCAUUCUGCAUGCUGGCCAUAUGCACCUGCUUGACUGUGGCCCAAAAGAGGAGAUUAAGGCUGCAAUACUGACCAUAUCUACUCAAAAGUAAACCCCAUGCAAUGGGGUUUGCUACUCCAGGUUUAGUGGAGUUCAAACUGCAGCUAUAAACACGAAGAAACAGAAAUAGUUCUAUAUGAGGUGUACCCCUGAUUCUGGCCCAUUAACAGAGACAUAUAUUUAAAUAUUUUAUUUUUCUAGGAAUAGAGGUAGACAUGCUAUUCUGCUAAAAGCAGAGCGAGUGAAUUUCUCUCCAACGAUGUUUCUAUAGAUGGGCUUGAAGCCACUGGAAUCGUAUAGUAGUAUUUUUUUCCUGGCUUGUUCCAUUUCAGGCAGCAGGCAGCUUCUCAAAGUUAUGAAUGUUCUCUAACGUUAGGAGAAAGCCCUUGCACAUCCAAACCUAGCACUCCAGGCAGAAAGGUUCUAGCCAGACAAUCUUCUUGAUGUGCUGCUUUUCAGCAUGCAAGGAUUUCAUUUUUUAAUUUUUUUCAGAUGGGGGAGUAUUCAGAAAUGAGAUUCUCCCAUCACCUGUUGAAAUAUGAACUGGUACAUUCCAAGAAGAACUCUUGCCACCUGGUUUGGCUGACCAGAUCGGCCCUGAAUCAAUGGCCUGGAGCAGUGCUCGACAACUUUAAGGUCCCUGGCCUCCAAAGUGCCUAAACUGCUGUCAACACAGUCACAAUGGGCACUUCCCUUCCCUGAAAUGAAAUGUCGGCACAACCCCUCAGUUCUUUGCUUCUGGUAUCUAUGGAGUUGAGGACCACUAAUCAAACACUAACACCUAGCACUCGGCAACUUGAUGGGCACAAGCCAACACCAAAGAGAAGUGUGAUUCUUCGCUUGGGUUCUGAAUAUCUCUUUCUCCUUCCACAGCAUUUUUAUUAUUAUUAUUAAAAAGAAUUAAAUCACAAUAUGUUCAAUCUCAGGUAUAUGGGUUUCUUUUUUUCCUUAAGAAAAAAAUAGUUUGUAUUGAUAUGGAAAGCUUGGGCAGUUCCCCAUUUCUGCAUUUUGUUCACCUCCCUCUCCCAAAGCCUUUCUGUUUUAUUUUUAAACAAUCAAUAAAUUAAAGCAGCAUUAAUCAAAAGGCCUUCGCUUCCGGGGGAAGCCAGGUGAUUACGAGUGAGUUUGGCAUUGAGCGUCAUGCAUAUAUCUUUAGAGAAAGCCAUAUGAAAUCAGACUGCAAUAUUCAUUACGAAUGCUAUUCUGUGUUUUAAACGAACCAACGAACAAACUUGCAUUGUGUGCUAAAUCCCUUCAGCAUUUCUCUGUCUAUGUUUCCGGUACAAUAUGUUAGCUUAGUUUCCAUCUGCCCAGUCCUUCAACAUACCAGUGAUGUUCAGUACAUCAAUCGAACAGGCUCUUAGAACCAAUUGUUGUUAGGAAUUCCAUUGUUGUGAUCUGAAUGUAACGUCCUAUGUAUCUCUCUGAACCCGUUUACCUGUAUAUGUUUUAUUCUGUGUUAACCAAGAUUCCGGUUCUAUGUGCUCAGUCAGCAACAUCUUUCAGUAAAUGUCUUUUUAAACAAUGCUUGUUUUCACACUCGCGUAAUACUAAUACUAAUAAUAAAAAAGCGCAGAACACUAACUAGAUGGGCAUUUUCUAAUAAGUGAAAUGAAACAAACCAACAAAAUGCUCUUUUUUUCCCUCUUCGGAAUGCAUGCAGCACCUUCGGAAGCAGCCAGAAGGUGACUUCAAGUAGAGACUUUGUGAAUGUAAAUUCUGUUUGUAAUCUGCCUGCUACCUUUUCCUGCAUGAUGUGGGUUCAAUGGUACAAUGUUCUUUUCAAAUGGAAUCACAGCC